rnacentral:tRNA from 1 species
GAGGGGUUUAUAAGACCU